GACGUAGGGCGCGAGCGUUGUCCGGAUUGAUUGGGCGUAAAGAGCUCGUAGGCGGCUCGUUGCGUCGGCUGUGAAAACCCGCAGCUCAACUGUGGGCCUGCAGCUGAUACGGGCGGGCUGGAGUUCGGUAGGGGAGAGUGGAAUUCCUGGUGUAGCGGUGAAAUGCGCAGAUAUCAGGAGGAACACCGGUGGCGAAGGCGGGUCUCUGGGCCGAUACUGACGCUGAGGAGCGAAAGCGUGGGGAGCGAACAGG
rnacentral:rRNA from 1 species